AAAUGAUGAGUUCCAAAUAGGACGAAACGCGCGUCCUGGAC
rnacentral:hammerhead_ribozyme from 1 species